GAUGAACGCUGGCGGCGUGCCUAAUACAUGCAAGUCGAACGCUUCACUUCGGUGAAGAGUGGCGAACGGGUGAGUAAUACAUAAGUAACCUGGCAUCUACAGGGGGAUAACUGAUGGAAACGUCAGCUAAGACCGCAUAGGUGUAGAGAUCGCAUGAACUCUAUAUGAAAAGUGCUACGGGACUGGUAGAUGAUGGACUUAUGGCGCAUUAGCGGGUUGGUAGGGUAACGGCCUACCAAGGCGACGAUGCGUAGCCGACCGGAGAGGGUGACCGGCCACACUGGGACUGAGACACGGCCCAGACUCCUACGGGAGGCAGCAGUAGGGAAUUUUCGGCAAUGGGGGAAACCCUGACCGAGCAACGCCGCGUGAAGGAAGAAGUAAUUCGUUAUGUAAACUUCUGUCAUAGAGGAAGAACGGUGGAUAUAGGGAAUGAUAUCCAAGUGACGGUACUCUAUAAGAAAGCCACGGCUAACUACGUGCCAGCCGCCGCGGUAA
rnacentral:rRNA from 1 species